UUUGUUGCAUUUGAUGAUAAAUCUAUUGCAUCUUAUGGUUAAUCUGUUGCAUCAGAUGAUUAACCUGUUGCAUCAGAUUUUUAAUCCAAUGGUUCCUUUGUUGCAUCAGAUUAUUAAUUUAUUGCAUUAGAUCGUAAAUCGAUUGCAUCGGAUUGUAAAUCUAUUACAUCAGAUAGUUAAUCUGUUGCACCGGAUGGUUAAUCUGUUGCAUCAGAAGGUUAAUCUAUUGCAG
rnacentral:lncRNA from 1 species